rnacentral:rRNA from 1 species
AACACAUGCAAGUCGAGCGAAGCACUUAAGUUUUGAUUCUUCGGAUGAAGACUUUUGUGACUGAGCGGCGGACGGGUGAGUAACGCGUGGGUAACCUGCCUCAUACAGGGGGAUAACAGUUAGAAAUGACUGCUAAUACCGCAUAAGACCACGGUACCACAUGGUACAGUGGUAAAAGCUCCGGUGGUAUGAGAUGGGACCCGCGUCUAUUUAGGUAGUUGUGUAGGGGAAACGGCCUACCAAGCCGACUAUAGUAGCCACUGAAAGGGGUACCGGCCACAUUUGGGGGAUA